UACAUAUAGGCACACAUAAUAAGGUAAUAGCGAUAAAUUUCCGACGAGUUGAAAUUCUGUGGCUAUCGCCUUAUAGCCUACCAAUCAGCG